UCUGACUCCGACUUACUGACGGACUCAAUCACCACUACCGGCUCCGGCUGGGGGACCUUUGAUUCUUCUCUUUCAUUUUUAACCCUCUCGCCGACCGCGGUUUCUUCACCGAAAAUGAACUUGCGUUCAGGCAACUGCACUUCGUUCAUAUCGUCGAGUGAUAAAUUUUGUAGAUCUCCGACAGAAAACAUGCAUUCCAGCAACUGCAAAAUCUCAAAUUUCGCCAAUUUAAAAUCUCAUUGGUUCUUUAGAACGAAGAAAAAAAAUAAAUUAUGGGAUUCUAAGAGAAAGAGAAAUGAAAGGUUGUGACUAUCUAC
rnacentral:lncRNA from 1 species